AAACUGCGGCGGAGGCGCGGGCUGGGCUCAGCCCCGGCUGCCGCACAGGGACACCCGCGGUGACCGCGCUGCUCCGGAGAUUCCCGAACGGGCGGAGAGUUUGGGGAGCGGGAUGGAGCCCCAGAAAUCCUGAAGGAUUGCAGCCUGUGAGCAGCAGGGGAAGCCUGCAGCAGGAUCCCUGCCCGGGCUCCCCACAUCCCACCAGAAGAGGAAGAGGAAAAGACGGUUCCUUCGCUGUUGAUAAAAUGGGAAGCAGCAUCUCGCCAGCACCCCGCGAAGGGAAGCUCCAAUCCUUGCCUGGGGGGCAUCCCUGGGAUCUGUGCAGCUGGCAGGACACGGCCCUGUGCCACUGAGGGGUGGGGACAGCGUGGCUGGGGACAGCAUGUCCUUCCAGAGCCGCCGGAGCCAGCUGCUGCUGGUCAACUCGCUGACCUUCGGGCUGGAGGUGUGCCUGGCCGCCGGCAUCACCUACGUGCCCCCGCUGCUGCUGGAGGUGGGCGUGGAGGAGAAGUUCAUGACCAUGGUUUUGGGGAUAGGCCCUGUCCUCGGGCUGGUUUUUGUGCCUCUGAUCGGCUCUGCCAGCGACCACUGGCGCAGCAGCUACGGCCGGAGGAGACCUUUCAUCUGGCUGCUGAGCCUGGGCGUGCUGCUCAGCCUCUUCCUCAUCCCCCACGCCAGCAGCCUGGCCAGCCUGUGUGCCCUCAACCCCCGGCCUCUGGAGAUCGCCUUCCUCAUCCUGGGCAUCGGGCUGCUGGAUUUCUGCGGCCAGGUGUGCUUCACCCCGCUGGAGGCCCUGCUCUCCGACCUCUUCCAGGAGCCGGACAAUUGCCGCCAGGCCUUCUCCGUGUACGCCUUCAUGAUCAGCCUGGGGGGCUGCAUCGGCUACCUGCUGCCCGCCAUCGACUGGGCCUUCCUGGCGCCCUACCUGGGAGGCCAGCAGAGCUGCCUCUUCAGCCUGCUGGCCCUCAUCUUCCUCGCCUGCGUGCUGGCCACGCUGUUUGUGGCGGAGGAGGCGGCUCAGGGGGAUGUCCCAGAGGGGCCAGCGCUCAAGGACGCGUCCCCCAAGGUGUCCCUGCCGUGCAGGUGCUGCGGGCUGGCGCGGGGGUCGUGGCUGCUGCAGGGCAGGCAGGUGCUGCGGGCGGCCAGGAACGUGUGCGCGCUGCUGCCGCGGCUGCACGGCCUCUGCUGCCGCAUCCCCAGGGUCAUCCGCCGCCUCUUCGUGGCCGAGCUCUGCAGCUGGAUGGCUCUCAUGACUUUCAUGCUGUUCUACACGGAUUUUGUCGGGGAAGGGCUGUACCACGGCGUGCCCAGGGCCAAGCCGGGCACGGAGGCCAGGCGCCGCUACGAUGAAGGUGUCCGGAUGGGCAGCUUGGGCCUCUUCCUGCAGUGCAUCACCUCCAUCUUCUUCUCGACAAUCAUGGACCGGCUGGUGAAGCGCUUUGGGACGCGGGCAGUGUACCUGGCCAGCGUGGUGUUCUUCCCCGGGGCCGCCUCUGUCAUGUGCCUGUCCCACAGUGUCACCGUGGUCACCAUCUCCGCUGCCCUGACUGGAUUCACCUUCUCCGCCCUCCAGAUCCUGCCCUACACGCUGGCAUCCCUCUACCACCACGACAAACAGGUAUUUCUGCACAAAUACAAGAGGAAAGAGGAGGAAGAUGCCGCUCUGCUGGACAAAAAAUCAGCUUUCUCCAAGGGGCUGCUCUCCAGCCAGAAGCUUCCUUACCAGAAUGGCCACACUGGGAACCUCUUCUCCUCCUCCUCCUCCUCCUCUUCCUCCUCCUCCUCCUCCUCCUCCUCCCCUCCGGCCGUGUCCAGCUCUGCUCUGUGCGUCAGCUCCUCCUGCGACGUCUCCCUGCGGAUGGUGGUGGGAGAGCCGGAGCCGGGGGCUCCUGGCCGGGGGAUCUGCCUGGACCUGGCCAUCCUGGACAGCGCCUUCCUCCUGUCCCAGGUGGUGCCCUCGCUCUUCAUGGGCUCCAUCGUGCAGUUCACGCAGUCGGUCACCGCCUACAUGGUGUCUGCUGCUGGAUUCGGCCUGGUGGCCAUCUACUUCGCAACCAAAGUCGUCUUCGACAAGGGUGACAUGGCCAAGUGCUCCGUGUGACACCGGGGGUGGCAGCAGGUGGCAGAGCGGACUGUGUGUGUCCCCAGGGUCUGGAACCAGCCCUGUGUGUCCCCAGGGAUGUCACUGGCCAUGUGUGUCCCCAGGGGUCUGUCACCAGCCAUGCCCCAGCUGCUGCUGUCACCCCGGGGGUGGCUGUGGGGCUGCGGGCAGCACGGGGUUAAUCUCAGGUGUAAAUCAGAGGCUUUGGGGCGGUGUCCUCAGGGCCAGAGGUGCUUUCCAGAGGUGCCUUUAGCAGAGGGAAGCGCGGCACAGCAGCACCAAAGGGUUUCUCCAGGGGGGAAAAGGGGAAUUGUGUCCCCCCGGUAACGGGUCGUGCUCCUGAGCAGGAGCUGCACAGCGAGGGGAUCCAUCCUUGCCUCUCCUCCACCUCCAGCUGACUCCUCUCCCCCUGCUUGCUGUAGUUUUACCCAACUUCUUGAGCAAUAAUUCAGCAAAUGGGAUGCGGGGAGGAGAUUUCCUGGGGAAAAAAAGCAGCGGGGAGGCCGAGGUUUGGCUGUGGGGCUGAAGGGGUGCCCAGGUGUUCACCCACAUUUCUGCCCUCCUCUCCUUCCCCUCCUCCAUCCAAAACCAUCCAGGAGAAAACUUAGCGUGCCUUGUUUUGGGAAAAACAAGGAACAUCCCAUUAGGACCGGUUCCAAAAGGUGACUUAACCUUUACCUGUGUACAGGCUUGCAUCAGAUAGGGAGAACUUCUGAGCUUUUAUUUAUUUUAUUUUAUUUUAAUGAUUGUUUUUACCUUUCUUCACAUGGUUCUCAGUCACUCUGACCUCUCACUCCUCACCUCAGUGCCUGAGCCUGCAUUUUCUCUCUCCCCUCAUGGAUCCAGACUGUUCUGCCUCUUCCUUCCACUCACAGCCCCUGGAAGAUGCUGCCAUUCCCAGAUUCCCAGAGGGAAAUCCGCUCCCAGAGGGGUUUUCAGUGCUGUGGCAGUGAUGCAGAGCAGGAAAAGCUCUCCUGGAUGGGUUAAACUCAGACCUGCAGCUGGUCCCGUGGCUGUCUGGGCUUUCUUAAAAUGUAUUUUAUUUCCAGUCAGGAGUUCUCACUGACAGAAAGCCCCUCCUGCCGCCCUCACCCAGGGCACAAACCCUCCAGGGAUGUCCAGGUUGUUUUGGCCACCAGCUCUGAGUCACUUCCCUCUGGCAGCAGAGCCCGAUUCCCCCUGCCCAGAACCAUUCCCUGUCCCCAGUGACCCAGCUGGGACAAUUCUGCUGCUGGCAGAUUCCUGCAGGAGCUCCCCACACUCCGAGGAGGAGCUCAGGAGGAGCUCAGGAGUCAGGAAUGAUCCGAAAUGCCAAGGAAAAGCUGAGAUUGGUGCUGUGAGCACACAAACCCCAGCCAUCCUCGGCUCUGCCUGGGCUGAACCAGGCAAAAAACCAACGUUUGUGACUAAUUUUUAUUUUUUGAGGUGUGUGGGCAGCCAGAGGCACUUGUGAGGUUGGGCUGGAGGGUGAAAUGUUGCUAUUUUGGCAGAGUUUUGUCAGCCUGUUCUUUGGCAGGGAGGCCGGGUGACUCCCCUGCUGUCUGAGCCGGGCCCUCAAAGGUUUGGAAUCGUCCCUUUCCCGUCAGGGGUCACUGUUUUUGUUUUAGUUCUUCUCAAAUUAUAGCCUGCCAGCCUCCCUUUCCCACAGCAAGGGCUGUGCUGACACGCAGCUGCUUUGGGGAUGGAUUUGGCAGUGCUCAAACCACUUCCAGAAACAGUUUUGGGGUCUGUCCUACCCUGGGCUCUGUCCAGUCCAGGCUGCAGCAGGAAGGAUCUGAGACAAAAUCCCAUUGCUAGAGUUGGGAUAAUAAAUUCCCUGAAUAAAUUCCUCGACCCAAGGCUGGAAACCCCUUUAUUUUUAAUAUUUCUUAUGUAAAUGUGAGGAACUUCCCCUGCACAGAGGCUGCUCUGAUGCUCAAGUGCUUUUGAUCAUUUAAGUGCCUAAAGUGCUUCCACACUGAGCUUCAGGGGACGGGGUUUGGUGGGAAAGGCCUUAAAUUGUUCUUUUCAAACCCCAGGGUCAGAGGGGCGCAGAGCUGGGGAUUAAACCAGGAGAUGAGGGAGUAGGAGGAUGAGGAAAUCUUCACAAAAUUGGCUUUUUUUGGCUUCUUCUGAGAAAAUUUCUGCAUCAGCAUCGUGUGAAAGAGCAGCAAUGGGUGUUGUAGUCUGGGUAAAAGCAUCCCUGCUGUUACUGAUAUUUCCUGUGUGACCACGGAAUUCCUCUAGGAUUUGCUCCUGCCUGGCCACAGGUUUGGGGAGGAGCUCCUCAGAGCUUUUCUCCUCCAGGUAUGAGGUGGAUUCUCUUCCUCACAGGUGAAUCCUGCCCCACCUUUCCUUUGUGGAGUUUGGAAUGGGGAGGAGGGAGAGCUGCUGUGGGAAUUCCCUGCUGUGGAUCCCUGGGAUGGGGAAGGGCUGGGGGGGAUGGAUGGAUGGAAUCCAUGAAUGGAUGA